AUGAGGUGAAGUUGUGGAGAAGAAACAGAUCUUGGAGAAGAAACAGAUGAAGCUUUGAAGCUUUGAAGAGAUGAAGAGUACGAUGAAGCUUUGAAGAGGUGAAGAAGAGAUGAAGUUUUGAUGAAGCUUUGAAGAGACGAUGAAGGUGAAGAAGAGAUGAAGAGUACGAUGAAUUUUUUUUUGGAUCGGUGAAGAGGUGCGAGGGAAUAGAUCGUGAAAUUGGAACUGGCGGCUAGGGUUAUGUGAAGUUGUGAACUGAUAACAACAAAUUAAUUGUAAAAUACCUAAUAUGCCCUUACUAA
rnacentral:lncRNA from 1 species